rnacentral:rRNA from 1 species
UACGGGGGAUGCGAGCGUUAUCCGGGAUGAUUGGGCGUAAAGAGUCUGUAGGUGGGUUAAGAAGUCUUCUGUUAAAUCUCUCGGCUUAACCGAUUAAGAGCAGUAGAAACUCUUACCCUAGAGUACGGUAGGGGUAGAGGGAAUUCCCGGUGUAGCGGUGAAAUGCGUAGAUAUCGGGAAGAACGCCGAUGGCGAAAGCGCUCUGCUGGGCCGAAACUGACACUGAGAGACGAGAGCUAGGGGAGCGAAAGGG